rnacentral:rRNA from 1 species
GACGAACCGUGCUAACGUUGUUCGGAUUCACUGGGCUUAAAGGGCGCGUAGGCGGCUGGUCAAGUCAGGGGUGAAAUCUUUCGGCUCAACCGGAAAACUGCCCCUGAUACUGGUCAGCUGGAGGGAGAUAGGGGCAGAUGGAACUUCCGGUGGAGCGGUGAAAUGCGUAGAUAUCGGAAGGAACGCCGGUGGCGAAAGCGAUCUGCUGGAUCUCUUCUGACGCUGAUGCGCGAAAGCCAGGGGAGCAAACGGG